rnacentral:rRNA from 1 species
GAUCAUGGCUCAGGAUGAACGCUAGCGACAGGCUUAACACAUGCAAGUCGAGGGGCAGCAUGAUUUGUAGCAAUACAGAUUGAUGGCGACCGGCGCACGGGUGAGUAACGCGUAUGCAACUUACCUAUCAGAGGGGGAUAGCCCGGCGAAAGUCGGAUUAAUACCCCAUAAAACAGGGGUCCCGCAUGGGAAUAUUUGUUAAAGAUUCAUUUCGCUGAUAGAUAGGCAUGCG